GGAGAAAGGUCCUUGACACCUGCUGGGUUAAUGGAGAUGGUCUCUCUGCUGCAGGAAAUUACUCUGCUAUCUGAAUUCUGCAGAUGCUGGAAAUUCAAGCAACACACAUCAAAGUUGCUGGUGAACGCAGCAGGCCAGGCAGCAUCUCUAGGAAGAGGUACAGUCGACGUUUCAGGCCGAGACCCUUCGUCAGGACUAACUGAAGGAAGAUGGAAGGAGAUGUCUAUGAUCGAUUGUUACAGAUAUGCACGUUCGAAGUGCAAGACUGCAUGCCAAGCGUGACUCUGAAGAUUGGUGCAACAACUACAUCCCACGUUUUGUCAAUGAGCAUCUGGAACGUGUGUAAUAACUCUUUGGACUGUGUAGUCGAGACAUACUGUAUAUGUAAAGGAAAAGAUUAUGUCAUGCUAGUAAAAUGGUAAACCUGCAAAUGAAAUAUUU